UGGGGAAUAUUGCACAAUGGGGGAAACCCUGAUGCAGCGACGCCGCGUGAGCGAAGAAGGUUUUCGAAUCGUAAAGCUCUGUCCUAUGAGAAGAUAAUGACGGUAUCAUAGGAUGAAGCCCCGGCUAAAUACGUUCCAGCAGCCGCGGUAAUACGUAUGGGGCGAGCGUUUUCCGGAAUUAUUGGGCGUAAAGGGUACGUAGGCGGUCUAUUAAGUAAGGUGUGAAAGCGUAAGGCUUAACCUCAUUAAGCACUUGAAACUGAUAGACUUGAGUGAAGGAGAGGAAAGUGGAAUUCCUAGGGUAGCGGUGAAAUGCGUAAAUAUUAGGAGGCAUACCGGUGGCGAAGGCGACUUACUGGACUUUUACUGACGCUCAGGUACGAAAGCGUGGGGAGCAAACAGG
rnacentral:rRNA from 1 species